GGGAGUAGGCACAGUCUCGGGUGUACCCCCCGGCCUGUGAGGGGUGAUGGGGGUAUGUGGUGAGCAGGACGGCCGAGGGACGUGAGAGAACAUCGCGAGGCCGGUGGUGCGAUUGCUAAUGAGCAGCACCUGUGAAGCACACCAGUCUCGCAUCUCUCACGGAGGAGCGGAAGCAUAAAGGGGGAGCGACGGGGUGGAUGAUAGAGAGAGGAACAGGCCUGCUUUUGUUUGUAUUUUGUUAUAUUUUAUUUUGGUAGCCAGCAGUCGUCCGUGAGGGGCUGCUGGCAGGUAUUUUGUUUGUUUAUUUUAUUUAAAUAAAGUUUUAUUUAAUUGUU